rnacentral:rRNA from 1 species
CCUACGGGAGGCAGCAGUGGGGAAUAUUGCGCAAUGGGCGAAAGCCUGACGCAGCGACGCCGCGUGAGGGAUGAAGGUCUUCGGAUCGGAAACCUCUGUCAGCAGGGAAGAACGGUCACUGGGCUAAGCAGCAGUGAAUUGACGGUACCGGCAAAGGAAGCACCGGCUAACGCCGUGCCAGCAGCCGCGGUAAUACGGAGGGUGCGAGCGUUAAUCGGAAUUACGGGGCGUAACGCGCUCGUAGGCGGUAUGUCAAGUCAAGGGUGAAAUCCCCGCGCUCAACGUGGGAACUGCCUUUGAAACUGGCAAACUGGAGUGUGUGAGAGGAUAGUGGAAUUCCAGGUGU